rnacentral:rRNA from 1 species
UACGUAGGGUGCAAGCGUUGUCCGGAAUUAUUGGGCGUAAAGAGCUCGUAGGCGGUCUGUCGCGUCUGCUGUGAAAACUCGGGGCUUAACCCCGGGCCUGCAGUGGGUACGGGCAUACUAGAGUGCGGUAGGGGAGACUGGAAUUCCUGGUGUAGCGGUGAAAUGCGCAGAUAUCAGGAGGAACACCGGUGGCGAAGGCGGGUCUCUGGACCGAUACUGACGCUGAGGCGCGAAAGCGUGGGGAGCAAACAGG